rnacentral:rRNA from 1 species
UACGUAGGGGGCAAGCGUUGUCCGGAUUUAUUGGGCGUAAAGAGCGUGUAGGCGGCCAGACAGGUCCGUUGUGAAAACUCGAGGCUCAACCUCGAGACGCCGAUGGAAACCGUCUGGCUAGAGUCCGGAAGAGGAGAGUGGAAUUCCCGGUGUAGCGGUGAAAUGCGCAGAUAUCGGGAAGAACACCAACGGCGAAAGCACUCUGCUGGGCCGACACUGACACUGAGAGACGAAAGCUAGGGGAGCGAAUGGG